rnacentral:rRNA from 1 species
UACACUCCUGCGGGAGGCAGCAGUGGGGAAUUUUGGACAAUGGGCGAAAGCCUGAUCCAGCAAUGCCGCGUGUGUGAAGAAGGCCUUCGGGUUGUAAAGCACUUUUGUCCGGAAAGAAAUCCUUGGCUCUAAUACAGUCGGGGGAUGACGGUACCGGAAGAAUAAGCACCGGCUAACUACGUGCCAGCAGCCGCGGUAAUACGUAGGGUGCGAGCGUUAAUCGGAAUUACUGGGCGUAAAGCGUGCGCAGGCGGUUUGCUAAGACCGAUGUGAAAUCCCCGGGCUCAACCUGGGAACUGCAUUGGUGACUGGCAGGCUAGAGUAUGGCAGAGGGGGGUAGAAUUCCACGUGUAGCAGUGAAAUGCGUAGAGAUGUGGAGGAAUACCGAUGGCGAAGGCAGCCCCCUGGGCCAAUACUGACGCUCAUGCACGAAAGCGUGGGGAGCAAACAGGAUUAGAAACCCCUGUAGUCC